UAUCUGGUUGAUCCUGCCAGUAUUAUAUGCUUCUGUCAAAGAUUAAGCCAUGCAUGUCUAAGCAUAAAUUCUAGUAUGAUGAAGCUGCGGACGGCUCAGUACAACAGUUAUAAUCUUUUUGAUGAAAGAGAUGAUAAGGAUAUCUUUGAGAACGUCAAAGCUAAUACUUGUCGGUGGGUUCACAAGCUUAUUAUGAGUGAAUUGUCUUUUAGGCAGUUUAAUCAUGGUAAGGUGAUCAAGUGAAUACUUGGUCCGAUAAUCACCAUUUCUUUUUGAAUAAGAGUGGAAGACUUUUCCGAGAUAAUUGUUUGAAACGAGAGUUUUAUACAAGUCAUCAUUAAGAAUAUCUGACCUAUCAAUUAUUGUUGGUAAGGUAGUGGCUUACCAAGGUUGUAACGGGUAACGAGGAAUAAGGGUUCGACAUCGGAGAGGGAGCUUUAGAAAUGGCUACCACUUCUAAGGAAGGCAGCAGGCGCGAAAAUUACCCAAUCUUAACAAAUGAAGGAGGUAGUGACGACAAUUAACUCUGUCAUCAUCUAUACGGUGAUGAUUGUUGGAAUGACUACGACACAAAAAAUCGUAGGAAAUCGAUUGGAGGGCAAGUCUGGUGCCAGCAGCCGCGGUAAUUCCAGCUCCAAUAGUGUAUUGUAAAGUUGUUGUGAUUAAAACGCUCGUAGUUGAAUUUAAACAAGAAGGACUUUUUUCUGGUCUCUAAUCAAGUUUCCGUUGAUGACGCAAGUUUGAGACGAUUCUUGACGAGACUUUGAAGCUUACGGUUCUUCACUAAACGAGAGAAAGGGUAACACCUUUCUUUUUUACUUUGAAUAAAUCAAGGUGCUCAAAGCAAAAACUUUUGUUAAUGAAUGAUGAAGCAUGGUAUAAAAUGAAAAACAGAAUAUCAUCAAAAACAGUCUGAAAUUGGAGAUGGAGAUAAAACUCCAUUCAAAAUUGAAAGUCUGUCUUAUUUUGUUUUAAAUAAGAUUAAAAGAAAUGAUUAGGGUGAUCUAGAUAGGAACGGGAGAGGUGGAAAUCCAUGAUCGUUUCGAGAUAAGCGAGAGCGAAAGCAUUUCACUGAACUCAUUUCAUUAAUCAAGAACGAAAGUCAGGGAAUCGAAGACGAUUAGAUACCGUCGUAGUCCUGACCAUAAACGAUGUCAACUAAGGAUUGGAUUGGAACAAACAUGAGAGGUCACUUUACUUUUCUUUCAUUUUCGUCAGAAAAUGGAUGAAAUUGGUGGGUUCUCUAUAUCUUCCCUUAUUCAGAACUUGAUGAGAAAUCAUUAAGUUAAUGGACUUCAGGGGGAGUAUGGUCACAAGGCUGAAACUUAAAGAAAUUGACGGAAGGGCACACCAGGAGUGGAGCCUGCGGCUUAAUUUGACUCAACACGGGAAAACUUACCAAGACCAAACGGUGUUAGGAAUGACAGGUUACUGGAUCUUUCAUGAUUCAUCGGGGAGUGGUGCAUGGCCGUUCUUAGUUCGUGGAGUGAUUUGUCUGGUUAAUUCCGAUAACGAACGAGACUUGAACUUGCUAAUUAGUUGGACAAUAAAUUCCUUCGGGGGUUUAUGUUUAUUCUCUCCUUGGAGAGUUACACGCAAAUGAAGCGUGACUUCUUAGAGGGACAAAUCUUUAUUCCUUUACGUCGUUGGCACGCCUCUUUCCUUUCGGGGUUAGAGUUUGCUAACGGUCGUAAAACAAAAAGAAGGAAGCAUCAAGCAAUAACAGGUCUGUGAUGCCCUUAGACAUCUUGGGCUGCACGCGUGCUACAAUGAAAGUACUAGAGAGUUCAAGUGUUUUUUACUGUCUUUUGGGGGGUUUCUGACUUUUCUGAGAUAGUGAAAGAUGCGUUCACCUACUCCGAAAGGAGAUGGAAAACUCUAAUGUCUUUAUUUAUUCUUGACUGGGAUGAAUGAUUGGAAUUAUUUGUUCUGAACAAGGAAUUCCUUGUAAAAGCAAGUCAUUAGCUUGCGUUGAAUACGUCCCUGCCCUUUGUACACACCGCCCGUCGCUCCUACCGAUCGAACAAAAAGGUGAAAUUUCGGGAUCUUGUGGUUCACACCAUAAAGAAAACGGAAGUAAAUCUUUUUGUUUAGAGGAAGGAGAAGUCGUAACAAGGUUUCCGUAGGUGAACCUGCGGAAGGAUCA
rnacentral:rRNA from 1 species